UACGUAGGGGGCAAGCGUUGGCCAGAUUUAUUGGGCGUAAAGAGCGUGUAGGCGGCCAGACAAGUCCGUUGUGAAAACUAGAGGCUUAACCUCUAGACGUCGAUGGAAACUGUUUGGCUAGAGUCCGGAAGAGGAGAAUGGAAUUCCUGGUGUAGCGGUGAAAUGCGCAGAUAUCAGGAAGAACACCCGUGGCUAAGGCGGUUCUCUAGUACGGUACUGACGCUGAGACGCGAAAGCGUGGGGAGCGAACAGG
rnacentral:rRNA from 1 species